AUGUGACUGAAAGGGGGGGUGCUGCUGGGGGGUCCCGGCUCAGGAGAGUGGGGCGCUUACAGGGCUGUAGUUUAUGUAUUGAAAACAUUGGAUUUGGUGGCACAAGGAUUGCCAACACGGUGCGUGCCGCGGCUGGAGAUGCUCUCUUAGUGCAGAUCACUGGGAAAACUGCUCUCUCACACAUCGAUCUUACGUUCAUCACACCAGGUCAUUUCUAUUUUGAAAGAACAGGAUAUGGGGAUAUGGGGUUGAUCUAUGUACCACCCAAAAUGAAAUUCUUAAACCUAUUAGUGUGCCAAACACACCAACUGUAGUGUUGUAGUGCCUAAUUAAUUCUGUGGAGCCAGACACUGAGAACACUCACGAUUGCCUAGCCGAAAUUCAUAUUUCCUCAAGCUUAAAAGUUUCGGGUCUGAAAUUUCACAAACAUUAUGAACACCCUGUUCUGCCCAAUUGGUUGAAUUUAAAGCUAUCACUACAGAGUGCAACCUGGUUAAGGGUAAAACUGCUAAUAUAUAAAUAUAUAGAUAAAUACUGACGUUUAGGCCCAUGGAUUGUGUUGUCUGUUUAGAGUUGUUUAAAUGCAAUGCGGUUUUCGAAAAACCGUUGGAACGCCACUUAUCGAGCAAAUAGUUUAAUUGAAUUCUGAUUCUGACUGCACUUCUCACUGUAUGUAUUACAGAUACCCAUGAGUUUUAGCCAGUGUGGGAGGGGGAAGGUAGAGGAGUGAUCUCUUACUUGCAGGCAACGGUGUGAUAUUUUAAAAAAAUUUUCUUGACCAGGGAUAGGUCCUAGAUCUGGCAUACCAUCUCAAGUUACCGUAAUUUGUGCUGAUACUAAACGUAUUUCGGUAGAUGCUCUACCUCUUGCACUAAUGACCUAUUGUUAUUAGGUCACUGCAUGCGGACUAACAGCAAUAUGUAUCUAACACAGCAUGAAAUGCUUACGGGUAGACCCAUGUCUGUGUCUGUUCCUCAUGAUGGACUGCCACUGGAGUAAUUGCAGAUGAAUCAAAAACAUAUAUGAGACCACUAACUAUUAUGUAUGAAGCUAUCUAUUCACAGGAAAAGAGCUGGGUGCAUUGUUAUGGGUGAGGCGUUACCGCCUCAACGGGGGGAGGUGUUCACCCGGAGGUGGGAGACCCGGCGCAGCGAGAGAAUGCUGACUACAAGGCAGCAGCGGACUACAAGAACGUGCGACCCCCGGAGGAUGCUACUCCAAUGACGAGAUGGUGGGGAACACGUGAAGGUCCGGUACGAAGCUGCUGUGUACGAAGCUGACGUCAACGGGGGGUCUGCUAUCGUAGAACUCUCAAGUCAGUGGCAGACAGGGUUCGUCCGACCCUCCUCCUGGAUUAUCCUCGCUUUCUAUUGGCUAGUCAGCGCUCUACACCUACGUGUGACUGGCCCCUGCGUGGCAGCAGCAUGGAGUUUGUCCAUUACCCUAGUUUUGGGCGGAACUGAUAAGGCUUGUGAAGUGCUUUGGGUGAAGGCUCAAGCAAAACAAAUGUCUCCAAAACUCAGUUGUGCAUUGGCCUGGAAUCUAACCCGGACUUCACAGAGGGCGCUUUCCAGGUAAGUAUUGUGCUCACUCAGCAAUUUGGCUCAAAAUUGACAAGGAGCAUACUAAGGCUCUUGUAUAUUUGAGCAACAUGGACUGUGUCUGCUACCCUUUUUUUUGGACAGAAUUGAUAAGGCUUGUGGAGUUCUUUGGGUGAAGGCUCAAUAUUCAAAACUCAGCCGUGAGUGGCCGGGAAUGGAACCCCGGCCUCACGCGUGGUCGGUCAGAAUUUGACCACUGAACCACCAAUGCUUAUCUUAAAGGAGUAAGGACAAUGCAGAGUGUGCUUUUCAUUAAGUAUUGUUCUGAUUAAACAGUUUGGUUUCAAAAUAGAAAAGGAACAUCCUAAGUCUCUUGUAUAUUUCAGCAGCAUGGAGUUGGUCUAGUUUGGGCAGAAAUGAUAAGGCUUGUAACGUUCUU